UGAAAUCCCGUCCUGCUAAAAGGUAGUUUUAUUGAUACACAGCUAUCAUCCUUAACAGGUUGUCUCCACUUUGCUGUUAUUCUUGUAUUUAUAUGUAGCUGCUAUUUUCGGAUCCGAGCAUUAAUCUAUAAAUUCACUUUUUGGCUUCCUUUUUUCAGCUUGUAGGACAAAUUGCAUAAGAUAAUAGAUUUUUUUCCGUGCUUGUUAAUCCACCUUUCUGUUUUCAUUGUUCUAGAAUAUCAUCCUUUGAAUGAACAAAGAAUUUAAAUUUUAAACUUUUCCUUUUGAAAUUGGCUUUAUGUUGACAUUACCUUUCUUUUCCUUUGUCAUUAUCAGAACAUACGGAGUAUUACAUCUGGUCAUUUGCUACUGCAAUAGUAUCCUAUAAUCUUUUUUCUUGUUUCGUUUUGUUAUUUUUCACUAUUAGUUUUUAUUGUAAGUAUUGUUAA
rnacentral:misc_RNA from 1 species